rnacentral:lncRNA from 1 species
CCCUUGUUGACAUUUCUCUAAGGCUCGGUACAGUUCAGCGAGGAUCAUGGGUGUUAUGUUGAAUGUCUGCCCGUCGAUACCCUCCAUUAUGGCUUUGGUUACCAUGGCUAGUCAUGUAUGGAUUCUAGCCUUCUUCAUUGGAAAGACUAUCAUGCCCAGGAAACAGAACAUGAAUACAAAGGCUCUCCUAUGUGUGUGUGCC